CCUUAGAGUUUGAUCCUGGCUCAAGAUGAACCCUAGCGACAGGCUUAACACAUGCAAGUCGAGGGGCAGCACAGGUAGCAAUACCGGGUGGCGACCGGCGCACGGGUGAGCAACGCGUAUGCAACUUGCCUAUCAGAGGGGGAUAACCCGGCGAAAGUCGGACUAAUACCGCAUGAAGCAGGGAUCCCGCAUGGGAAUAUUUGCUAAAGAUUCAUCGCUGAUAGAUAGGCAUGCGUUCCAUUAGGCAGUUGGCGGGGUAACGGCCCACCAAACCGACGAUGGAUAGGGGUUCUGAGAGGAAGGUCCCCCACAUUGGUACUGAGACACGGACCAAACUCCUACGGGAGGCAGCAGUGAGGAAUAUUGGUCAAUGGCCGAGAGGCUGAACCAGCCAAGUCGCGUGAGGGAUGAAGGUUCUAUGGAUCGUAAACCUCUUUUAUAAGGGAAUAAAGUGCGGGACGUGUCCCGUUUUGUAUGUACCUUAUGAAUAAGGAUCGGCUAACUCCGUGCCAGCAGCCGCGGUAAUACGGAGGAUCCGAGCGUUAUCCGGAUUUAUUGGGUUUAAAGGGUGCGUAGGCGGCCUUUUAAGUCAGCGGUGAAAGUCUGUGGCUCAACCAUAGAAUUGCCGUUGAAACUGGGGGGCUUGAGUAUGUUUGAGGCAGGCGGAAUGCGUGGUGUAGCGGUGAAAUGCAUAGAUAUCACGCAGAACCCCGAUUGCGAAGGCAGCCUGCCAAGCCAUGACUGACGCUGAUGCACGAAAGCGUGGGGAUCAAACAGGAUUGGAUACCCUGGUAGUCCACGCAGUAAACGAUGAUCACUAGCUGUUUGCGAUACACUGUAAGCGGCACAGCGAAAGCGUUAAGUGAUCCACCUGGGGAGUACGCCGGCAACGGUGAAACUCAAAGGAAUUGACGGGGGCCCGCACAAGCGGAGGAACAUGUGGUUUAAUUCGAUGAUACGCGAGGAACCUUACCCGGGUUUGAACGCAUUCGGACCGAGGUGGAAACACCUUUUCUAGCAAUAGCCGUUUGCGAGGUGCUGCAUGGUUGUCGUCAGCUCGUGCCGUGAGGUGUCGGCUUAAGUGCCAUAACGAGCGCAACCCUUGCCACUAGUUACUAACAGGUGAUGCUGAGGACUCUGGUGGGACUGCCAGCGUAAGCUGCGAGGAAGGCGGGGAUGACGUCAAAUCAGCACGGCCCUUACAUCCGGGGCGACACACGUGUUACAAUGGCGUGGACAAAGGGAAGCCACCUGGCGACAGGGAGCGAAUCCCCAAACCACGUCUCAGUUCGGAUCGGAGUCUGCAACCCGACUCCGUGAAGCUGGAUUCGCUAGUAAUCGCGCAUCAGCCAUGGCGCGGUGAAUACGUUCCCGGGCCUUGCACA
rnacentral:rRNA from 1 species